CAGGGUUUUCCGAAAGGCUUCCUGGAGGAAGUGAUGCUUGCGCUAAGAUUUUACGAAUAAUUACUAAGCUGACUAGGAGAGGGGUGAGUCCUCCAGGCAGUAGGAAAAUAGGUUGCAGAGCUCUGGGGUGGGAGGAAGCAUGGCCCUGAAGUCCACUGUUGUUGGAGUGGAGACAGAAAAGUGAGGGGCCACGGGGGAGUGAGGCUGGAUGUAGUGGGCAGGGCCUGGCCUAGUAGGCCAUGCUCAGGAGUGCUGGCAUUUCCUAAGAUCCAUGCAAAGUCACAGGAAGAGGUGUUUUUUUACAGAGACCUUCCUGGGAACCCUACGAGCACGGCCAUGUGAACAGGCUUGAACUGGCCUGCUAAAGACACAUGGCCCAGGGAGAGCCAUUACCCCAGCCACCUACACCAACUGCCAGCCAGCCAUACAUGUGUGGGGAACCACCCAAGACCAAACAGCCCCCAGCCACCCCACUAGCUGACUGCAGCUGCAAGAGUCAACCCAGCGCUUAUUUCCUCCGACACGUGUAUUUCCCUUCUUGGUUUUCUUGAUCUCCUCUUUCAAAAGGAGCAGGCAUCUGAGUGGAGGGGUGGGGACAGACAUACCUGUUUUGCUAGGUGAGGUCUGCCUUGACCAGGCCACAUUGCUGCCAGUCUGGCUGAGUGAGCCACAUUCUGCAGGUAUGUGACCAGAUGGAGCCAAGGAAGGCAGUGACAUAUCUGGGACAGAGGUGGAAACCAGCCUCCCUGCCCUCCCAGAGGCCAGCUCAAGCUCCAGGCCCCAGCAUUUGGCAGGGCCUGACCUGUUUUCACGACUCAGGUAAAAUUUGAAAAUGUUUAGCAGAAUCAUUCUUUCUUCAGUGCACAUCUCACAUCCCACGGUGACAUUUUGAUUCACAUUUAUUUAUUGGUUUGGGAGGACAGCAAUAAUCAUCAUAGAAUAUUCGGAAAAUACCAAAAUGUCCAAGGAAUGAAAUAAAAAUCCCCUGCACAUAUCUCCUCUUCCUUCAUAACCAAUGACAAC